UUGCAGUUAAAAAGCUCGUAGUUGGAUUUCUGUUUUGAAUGUCCGGUCGGUCAGUUUCUGAUGUGUACUUUGGAUAUUUGAAGCAUUUUUUGUGAGGGUCCUUGAACUGGCAUUAAGUUGUUGGUUUUGGAAGCUUGCAUCGUUUACUGUGAAAAAAUUAGAGUGUUUCAAGCAGGCGUUCGCUUUUGAAUACAUUAGCAUGGAAUAAUAAGAUACGACUAGCGUGGUCUAUUUUGUUGGUUUGCACACGCAAGUAAUGAUUAAUAGGGACAGUUGGGGGUAUUCAUAUUUGAGCGUCAGAGGUGAAAUUCUUGGAUCGCUGAAAGAUGAGCUUAGGCGAAAGCAUUUAUCAUGGAUGUUUUCAUUAAUCAGAACGAAAGUUAGGGGAUCGAAGAUGAUUA
rnacentral:rRNA from 1 species